CACCUCGGGCCGGGCGCGGGGCAUCUACCUCGUGAAGAGCCCACCAGACAGCGAGUGUUUUGCUUAAAGGAAAGUUAAACCACAAUUUUUUCAGUAUGGGGAGAUCGUUGCGCCCCUUCCCCCAAUUCUUCGCGCAGGAUAAAUAAGGUGCUCCCGCUACCAAGACCUUCGCCAACGUCCACCCCACCCCCCGCUCGGGCGCCGGGUGUGGACAGGGCGGGGGAAGGCUAUAUGGGAGCUUAAAGCAUGAGGUCAUGGGCGGAGGAGGCUGCUGCCAAAAGCGGCCGAGGUUUUUGUGUAUCUUGAGGGGUAACGGUUCUCCAUCUUCAGCCGUGGUAAGUUCUCCCGCAUAACACUACCAGUUCUGGGGCACCUGGAUCAGAGAGCCCCCGAAAGAGGAGGGGGCUCUGCACUGUUUCGCUCUUUGAGCCUUUGGCUGGUGCCCUGCCCUUUAUGUGGCCCUCCCACAUAAGCAAGAAAGUAGAGGGGCAGCGCACACUGUCGUGGGGUUUGAGAAAGGCUCAGAUGCUCGGUCACCCCCCUCAUCCCCUCUUUCCUCAGCCCUUGGUCAUCUUCCAUCCCGAACGCUUUUUGUGAUAGCCUUCUAUCCCCCUCCGACCCAUUCUUCCCGAGCAGCUAGAAGAGUCUUUCUAAAACUCUGGACGACACUCCUUCAAACCCCUCCCAAUUGCUCUUAGAAUAAAGCUCUGAAGCCCCCGCGCGAUUUCGCCCUUACAGACCUCUCCACUCUCACAGCUCCUCCUCCUCCUCCUAUACUGUAAGCCGGGUAGUGCUUCUUUGUUCUGUGGCUGGGGGCGGGGGGUGGGGGUAUCCCUCCCCCUCCAUCUCUUCUUACCAACUCCUGCUAGACCUUCAGGACACGUCUCCACUAUCACUCCCUCCAAGAAGCCUUCCUAAGAAUACAAUCUCAUCUCUAACUCCCUCAGUGCAGAAAGACCCACCCUCGAACUCCGGGAAGCCGGGCCGUGGCUGGAGCUGGCUGCAGGGGCAGCCCUUUUCCAAGCCGAGGAAGAAGAGCCAAGCUUGAGCGCCAUCACUGCCUGGGCGCCUGACCUGCUGGGAGGCAGUGACUAGGUCAAAACCUCAACACGUCGUGUUUCCUCUAGAGACCUGGGAAAAGCAGCGCAGUGCCGCCCAGAAACCUCAGCCCCUCAACCCCCCCACCCCCGCCCCCCAGCACACACCCACAACUUGUAAUGCCAGGAGAGGUCUUUUAACCUAAAACUCCUCCCUGGGGCAGAUAAGGAAGCCGAGGCUUGAAAGGAGUAACCCGCCCAGGGUCAAUGAGGAAACUGACACCUUGGUCUUUCCUGCCCCCAAAAGAGAAGGAAGGAUUUGGGGCCUAAAGAGUUGUUGCUUCACAGCCAAGGAUGCCUGUGUCACCUUCCAAGGACCCCUAUAUGCUUGGCUCACUGCCAACAGAGAGGUAGUAAACCUAAUGGUUAGUCUUGCAGGCUCUGACCUUAGGCAAGUUACUUCCUCACUGGGUCAGUUUCUUUGUCUGUAAAAUCAGAACAAUGGUACCUGCAGUGUAGUGUUACUGGGAGAUUUAAAUGAGUUUAUAUAUGUAAAGACCUUAGAACAAGUUCUUGAUUAUCAGGGAGCAGUGUUAUGUGCCCCCUCCCUUCCCGAGGACUCUAAUAAGGGCCCCAGAGUCUUAACUGAUUUAAGCAUCAAAAAUGACCUAUGGUCUAAUAAACUGGGAAGCGUCCAUAACGCACAGACAAUACAUACAGAGACCUUAGGUAGUUGAUGGAUUCAACCCUCAACAAUGCAUUCUCUUGAAGACCACCCCAAGUCUGGGAGCACUAGUCUGGACUCUUAGAAUGAGUGUCAGAGGGAGGAUAGCUAAAGUUAAAAUAUUACCUUGAAUGUUUGAAAUCAGAGUCAGGCUAAAACAGUCCCUUCCCAGCGCAAAACCUGCCUUAUAUGAUCAAAGUCCUCCUAGGGCUGUAAAAAAAUGUGAAGGGAUUAUUACUAUUAUUUAUUAUUAUUAUUUUAUCAUUAUUAUUGUCAUUAGAUCCUAGUUUUCCCAUUCUCAGCACUAACCCCGUGGUAAAAGAGGGUGGGUUUUUUUGGUUUUGUUUUUUUUUUUUUUAAUGCAGUUCUUUUUUUUUUUUUUUGGAAUAGGUUUCCUGCAUUUACAUGGUUCCAAAUUUGAAUAAUCUCCCUCCCACCAUGUCUCCUACCCACUGGUUUUCCCUCAGUGGAGAUAAGCAGGGUCAGAAGACGUAUUCAACUAUUUUUCAGCUGAGGGCUCAGGAGAACUCUUCGGAUGCCUAUUUAAGUCUUUAUGUUCAGGGCUUCCUUCUCCAAUCCAGGCAGAAUCACCACCCUACUCCUCCCCUUCAGCCUCAACCUGAAACAGGUUGUAGUAACAAUGAUGAACCACCAUUCCUGGGCCAUUGACAAAAACAAACACAUAUGCUGUGAUCCUUUCUCCUCCUCUACACUAGUAAUAGCUAAGCUUUACUGAGUGCUUUCUAUAUGCCUAAGUACUAGACAUGCUAAGUACUAGACAUGCAUUCUCCUAUUUCAUCAGCCCCAAACCCUCAUCCUUAACCUUAUUUUACAGAUGCAGACAGAAGUGGAAGCUCAGAGAGAUUAUGUAACUUGCUCCAGUUUGCAUCCAGGCUAACCUGAGCCCAAACCCUCUCUCUUAACCACUAGGCCCUUUGCCUCUGCAACACGGGAAAAAUUCCGGUGGCCUGAAGGGGAAGAAGUAAAAUGGAGUCUUUGGAUUUAGGCAGACCUUAAUUCAAACUCUGGAUCUGCCUGCUACCAGCAAUGAGAACUUGGGGAGGUUUCUUAACCUCUCUGGGUCCCAGUUCACCCACCUGCAAACUGGAACCAUACCUUCUUCACUGGUUAAAUGAAGUAAAACUCAAAUGUAUGUAAAUAAUGGCUUUUAAAAUGCAUAGUAAACCAAGCACAAUGUUUAGAUAUUGCGUGGCUCUGAUUUGAAUAAACCAGUUAAAAAGACAUUGUUGAGACAAUCAGGAAAAUAAAAUGUGAACUUGAUGUUAAGAAAUUAUUAAUUUCGUUAGAUGUGAUAAUGGUGUUAUGGUUAUGUUUUUUCCUUAAAUUCUUAUCUAUUUAGAGAUGCAUAAUGAGGAGUUUUGGGUGAAAGUAUGUUUAGGAUUUAUUUUCAAACACUCCAGCCCUCUCCUAAUAAAAGAUAAAUAAAACAAGAUUAGCAAAGCAUGGAUAAUUGCUGAAUCUGUCCAUUAUACUUUUCUCCCUACUACUGCUGAAAUGUUUCAAAUAAGUCUGAAAUAAUUUUAAAAGCAAUAUAUGUAUAAAAGCCCUGAAAUUUAAAAUGACCAGGAUUACUCAAUUAGUAUUAAAUGUUAUCAGUAAUUAUGAAAAUUGGAGUUCCCGUUGUGGCUCAGCGGGUUAAGGACCCGACUUAGUGUCUGGGAGGAUGCAGGUUUGAUCCCUGGCCUUACUCAGUGGGUUAAGGAUCCAGCGUUGCUGUGAGCUGCAGUGUAGGUGGCAGAUGUGGCUCAGAUCAGGCAUUGUUGUGGCUGGCAUAGGCCAGCAGCUGCAGCUCUGAUUCAGCCCCUAGCCCAGGAACUUCCAUAUGC
rnacentral:lncRNA from 1 species